rnacentral:rRNA from 1 species
GGGGAAUAUUGCACAAUGGAGGAAACUCUGAUGCAGCGACGCCGCGUGAACGAAGAAGGUCUUCGGAUCGUAAAGUUCUGUCCUAGGGGACGAUAAUGACGGUACCCUAGGAGGAAGCCCCGGCUAACUACGUGCCAGCAGCCGCGGUAAUACGUAGGGGGCGAGCGUUGUCCGGAAUUAUUGGGCGUAAAGGGUUCGUAGGCGGUUAUUUAAGUCAGGUGUGAAAGGCAUGGGCUUAACCUGUGUAAGCACUUGAAACUGGAUAACUUGAGUUAAGGAGGGGAAAGUGGAAUUCCUAGUGUAGCGGUUAAAUGCGUAGAUAUUAGGAGGAAUACCAGUGGCGAAGGCGACUUUCUGGACUUAUACUGACGCUGAGGAACGAAAGCGUGGGGAGCAAAC